UACAGAGGGUGCGAGCGUUAAUCGGAAUUACUGGGCGUAAAGCGCACGUAGUCGGCUUUGCAAGUCGGGUGUGAAAUCCCCGGGCUCAACCUGGGAACUGCAUCCGAGACUGCAUUGCUAGAGUAUGGGAGAGGGAAGCGGAAUUUCCGGUGUAGCGGUGAAAUGCGUAGAUAUCGGAAGGAACAUCAGUGGCGAAAGCGACUUCCUGGACCAGUACCGACGUUCAGGCACGAAAGCGUGGGGAGCAAACAGG
rnacentral:rRNA from 1 species